rnacentral:rRNA from 1 species
GACGAACGCUGGCGGCGUGCUUAACACAUGCAAGUCGAACGGGAUCCGGGCUUUCGGGUUUGGUGAGAGUGGCGAACGGGUGAGUAACACGUGAGUAACCUGCCCCCUUCUUUGGGAUAACGUCGGGAAAUCGGCGCUAAUACUGGAUAUUCUUGCUGCAUCGCAUGGUGUGGUUUGGAAAGGGUUUCUGGUGGGGGAUAGGCUCGCGGCCUAUCAGCUUGUUGGUGGGGUGAUGGCCUACCAAGGCUUUGACGGGUAGCCGGCCUGAGAGGGUGUCCGGCCACACUGGGACUGAGACACGGCCCAGACUCCUACGGGAGGCAGCAGUGGGGAAUAUUGCACAAUGGGCGCAAGCCUGAUGCAGCGACGCCGCGUGAGGGAUGACGGCCUUCGGGUUGUAAACCUCUUUCAGUAUGGAACAAGGAUCCUUCGUGUGGGGGGUUUGAGGGUACGUGCAGAAGAAGCGCCGGCUAACUACGUG